rnacentral:rRNA from 1 species
GACGAACGCUGGCGGCGUGCUUAACACAUGCAAGUCGAACGGAAAGGCCCCUUUGGGGGUACUCGAGUGGCGAACGGGUGAGUAACACGUGAGUAACCUGCCCUUGACUUCGGGAUAACUUCAGGAAACUGGGGCUAAUACCGGAUAGGAAUCCUUGCUGCAUGGUGGGGGUUAGAAAGCUUCGGCGGUUUUGGAUGGACUCGCGGCUUAUCAGCUUGUUGGUGGGGUAGUGGCUUACCAAGGCUUUGACGGGUAGCCGGCCUGAGAGGGCGACCGGCCACAUUGGGACUGAGAUACGGCCCAGACUCCUACGGGAGGCAUCAGUGGGGAAUAUUGCACAAUGGGCGGAAGCCUGAUGCAGCAACGCCGCGUGCGGGAUGACGGCCUUCGGGUUGUAAACCGCUUUCAGCAGGGGCGAAGCUUGUGGUGACGGUACCUGCAGAAGAAGCACCGGCUAACUACGUG